CAAUAGCGUAUAUUAAAGUUGUUGCAGUUAAAAAGCUCGUAGUUGGAUUUCUGGUGGGAGCGAUCGGUCUGGCGCUUAGCGCGAGUACUUGCAUCGUCUCCGGCCAUCCUUGGGGAGAGUCUGUCUGGCAUUAAGUUGUCGGGCAGAGGAUCCUCAUCGUUUACUGUGAAAAAAUUAGAGUGUUCAAAGCAGGCUUAUGCCGUUGAAUAUAUUAGCGUGGAAUAAUAAGUUAGGACUUUGGUACUAUUUUGUUGGUUUGCGCACCAAAGUAAUGAUUAAUAGGGACAGUUGGGGGUAUUCGUAUUCCGUUGUCAGAGGUGAAAUUCUUGGAUUUACGGAAGACGAACUACUGCGAAAGCAUUUACCAAGGAUGUUUUCAUUAA
rnacentral:rRNA from 1 species